rnacentral:rRNA from 1 species
ACAGAGGGUGCAAACGUUGCUCGGAAUCACUGGGCGUAAAGGGCGUGUAGGCGGGAAUGUAAGUCGGGCGUGUAAUCCCCAGGCUCAACCUGGGAACUGCACUCGAAACUGCGUUUCUUGAGUAUCGGAGAGGAAAGCGGAAUACCUGGUGUAGAGGUGAAAUUCGUAGAUAUCAGGUGGAACACCAGUGGCGAAGGCGGCUUUCUGGACGAUUACUGACGCUGAGACGCGAAAGCGUGGGGAGCAAACAGGA